ensembl:lncRNA
GGGGAUGUAUAUCACCGCCGCACGGCGCCGAAAUACAAAUUUUAAACUGUUGUUUAUCUACGCUGACGCCCGAACACAUUAUAAUUUAAUGUAUAGUGAACGAAAGACGCCAUAAAACAAUGCCUGUCAAAAGAAGCCUUCAGAUAAAAGCCAAUGAGAAGAAUGACGCUGGUGUGACGGACAAUACUGUGAACUUUACAAAUGAAAUGUGGUCAGGGGAAAAAAAAAAUCUUGAAUGAUUGUGAUCGGAGGUCUUUAAAGGGUCAUGAAACCUUCAAUCUUUCAGCUCAAGUCUACCUCGCAAUUUUUGAAAAAUGCAGUUUAAAUGUGCGUGGAUGGCUG